CGCCUAACCCCCGUAGUUUUACUACGAGAUACGGCGUAAAAACCCACUACAGGAUAAAGAGCUCGUCGUCAGAGCACCUGUAGUGGUCAUCAUCCGAAAGGGUGGUGGGUAGUCCGAAAGGAUUAUC
rnacentral:sRNA from 1 species